rnacentral:misc_RNA from 1 species
GGGGAGACUGCUGCCCCCGCCUCAAAGACUCCGUCUCCUUUGCCCAGUUCAUUGAUUUGAGCUCAAUUGCCAGUGGCAUUAGCCUUGCCGGGAUUCAUAUACAGCUUUGGGCUUUCCCUUUUCCACUUCUUUUUUCAAGUUUAAGAAAUUUUCUCUGUUUUUUCUUUUUUUUCCUUUUUUUUUUUUUUCUUUUUUUUCCCUUUUAAAAAAAAAAAGGAAUGAAUUACUUUUCUCAUUUCUAUGAUCUAUGCUAUUUUUUAUUGCGACCACUGAUGCGAUUGUCAUUUUCCUUUUCUUUUCCUUGAGACUUUGGAUGUUAGAUGCUGUUGUAACUGAUUAUAAACACAGUUAAAAUGUUAAAGAGGCAGUGAUGAUUUUUCUUGAAUGACUCCUUUAAAAAAUAUCUGAUCUCAAAUUUAUAAAACUUUUAUUGUUGCUCUACUUAUCAUUUUCUAAAUGAGGCAAAUUAAUAUAUGCUUUGGUGGUUAUGUUUGCAUUUGGUGUUAUUUUAUUUAAGAUGUUUUACUGUUUUCUCAAUUUUAAGGAAGCGCCUAGGAUAGAUGCAGGAAUUACUAGGGAUUUUAGGAUUACUUAUUUUAGGAAGAAAUAUAGGAAAUAGUGUUCUUAUUUAGGAUUUUUUGUGAUUUGUAAUUUGUGGUCCCUAUUUAGUGUUGGAGUUAGGAUUCCUAAUCCUAAUUUUAAUAUGAUUUGAAAUACUUAUGGGUUCUCUACAUAUUUGGUAGAAUUUCCUACUGACAAUUGAUUUGAGCUAAUAAAAUUGAGAACGUGUUUCUCUAACAAUCGAGAAUUUAUUUCUCACCCCCUUAUUCCCCUUUGCUCCAUUGGUUCUACAUCAGUAGAUAG